rnacentral:tRNA from 2 species
GGAGGGAUCGCAUAGAGGUCUAGUGCGGCCGCCUGCUAAGCGGUUAGGGUUGAAAAGGCCCUCAUGGGUUCGAAUCCCAUUCCCUCCGCCA